GACAGAGGGUGCAAACGUUGCUCGGAAUCACUGGGCGUAAAGGGCGUGUAGGCGGGUAGGCAAGUCGGGCGUGAAAUCCCUCGAGCUCAACUCAGGAACUGCACUCGAAACUGCUUAUCUUGAGUGCCGGAGAGGAAAGCGGGAAUACCUGGUGUAGAGGUGAAAUUCGUAGAUAUCAGGUGGAACACCAGUGGCGAAGGCGGCUUUCUGGACGGGUAACUGACGCUGAGACGCGAAAGCGUGGGGAGCAAACAGGA
rnacentral:rRNA from 1 species